rnacentral:misc_RNA from 1 species
AAGCGAUAAAAAUUUCUUUGUGCUUCCCCCGACAGACAACCGAUUUUCGUCGACUGACGAUACCUUUCCUCUCCUGCAAGUUCAAGCAGUAGACGUAAGCUUUUACUUUAAACACCCAUGUAGAUAAAGACAAACCCAUACAUCAUAUGAACAGUUUAACAUAAAGCAAAAAGCACUUGACCAAUCAAAAAAAUAAAAACUAACAAUCAAACGGAGGAUGAAGUACAGAGAAUCCACUAGGCAGAACUAGAGUGCAAGAAUAACACAUCCAACAAUAGGUUGCAUCUAAAUGACAAAUCUGAUCCAGAGUCAAGGAAAAAUGAAGCGCAUUUCCAAGCAAAACAACUGUGGAUAAAGUGUAUUAAUAUGUUUGGAGUGGGGACUAGGGAAAGAAGUAGGCAAACUAGGAUCAAUGAAUCUUCCAAUAGACCGAGAAGAAAGAUUGAAGACCACAUUAAGUAGGUGUCAGGGGCAAAAGAACAUAGCUCUAGAAGGCUAGACAGCAAUUUUUAGUGCGAGAUUUGAAAAACUUACAACAGUAUAGCAUUUGCACGGUAAGUAUAGACUUAAAUAUUGGACAAGAAUUCUACGGCUUAUCCUCAAGCACAGCCAAAUGGUGCAGAAAAAUAGAAAGUGGCACUCUAUUAUAGCUAAUCAAGUUUUCUUAUAGCAUUGGUCCCCAACAAAUACCAGCACAGUUUCCUGAAAAUAAAUAAUUUGAUGGCAUAUGCUAAUGCUUGAAUGAAAUGUCAACUUUUAACACCCAAUAGCUAAAUAUAAGACGAUACUUGAAUUCAUUGGGUCUUUUAAACUGAAAGAAGAUGCACAAUCUAAAUUGUUUAUACUAUAUCUGCCAAAGUUUGAAACUUGAUCACACCCUUCCCCUCUGGGAGUUCAGGGCAAGAAUAAUGCAUAAUCAUUUCCUUCAACGUGUGCUUUGUGCUUUUAACAUCAUUCUCCCAUAAGAUACU